rnacentral:rRNA from 1 species
CACGUAGGGUGCGAGCGUUGUCCGGAAUUAUUGGGCGUAAGGAGCUCGUAGGCGGUGUGUCGCGUCGGCCGUGAAAACCUGCAGCUUAACUGUGGGCUUGCGGUCGAUACGGGCAUCACUGGAGUUCGGCAGGGGAGACUGGAAUUCCUGGUGUAGCGGUGAAAUGCACAGGUAUCAGGAGGAACACCGGUGGCGAAGGCGGGUCUCUGGGCCGAUACUGACGCUGAGGAGCGAAAGCGUGGGGAGCAAACAGG